GAAUUUUUUUAUCGGUUGAAUCAACAGGUUCGUACUGAUUUUAAGAAUUUCUACCUUCUGGAGAACCUUAAUGUCAUUUAUUUGGUGUUUUGGGAAACCAGGACUGUUACCUUGAAAAAAUUAGAGUGUUUAAAGCAGGCUUAUGUCUGAAUAUAUUAGCAUGGAAUAAUGAAAUAGGACGGCAUGGUUCUAUUUUGUUGGUUUCUAGGAUCACCGUAAUGAUUAAUAGGGAUAGUUGGG
rnacentral:rRNA from 1 species